UGGGGAAUAUUGCACAAUGGGCGAAAGCCUGAUGCAGCGACGCCGCGUGAGGGAUGACGGCCUUCGGGUUGUAAACCUCUUUCAGCAGGGACGAAGCGCAAGUGACGGUACCUGCAGAAGAAGCACCGGCUAACUACGUGCCAGCAGCCGCGGUAAUACGUAGGGUGCAAGCGUUGUCCGGAAUUACUGGGCGUAAAGAGUUCGUAGGCGGUUUGUCGCGUCGUUUGUGAAAACCAGCAGCUCAACUGCUGGCUUGCAGGCGAUACGGGCAGAAUUGAGGACUGCAGGGGAGACUGGAAUUCCUGGUGUAGCGGUGAAAUGCGCAGAUAUCAGGAGGAACACCGGUGGCGAAGGCGGGUCUCUGGGCAGUAACUGACGCUGAGGAACGAAAGCGUGGGUAGCGAACAGG
rnacentral:rRNA from 1 species